rnacentral:rRNA from 1 species
UACGAAGGGGGCUAGCGUUGCUCGGAAUCACUGGGCGUAAAGGGUGCGUAGGCGGGUCUUUAAGUCAGGGGGUGAAAUCCUGGAGCUCAACUCCAGAACUGCCUUUGAUACUGAAGAUCUUGAGUUCGGGAGAGGUGAGUGGAACUGCGAGUGUAGAGGUGAAAUUCGUAGAUAUUCGCAAGAACACCAGUGGCGAAGGCGGCUCACUGGCCCGAUACUGACGCUGAGGCACGAAAGCGUGGGGAGCAAACAGGGAUUAAGAAACCCCGU